UCUCUCUCGCGAAAGCGAAAGCGGCGCACAAAAUCGUUUUCUCCGACCAGUCUUCCUGGCGAACCUCCGUCAUUAGUGCGAACAAACUCCAUUUCGGCUCACCCUCUUGAUUCAGACUCAUUCGAUUCUCCUCUCAAAUCGUUCGUCUCUCGCUCUCACUCAAUCCAUUAUCCGCUCGCGUUCGACUCUAUCUUCUCAUCCAUCUCUUUCUUUUUCUGGUUUCAACCGUUUCCUAUUAUGAUGGUGAUGUUGCGAUGUUGAUUGAAGUGGUUGGAUGCAGAUGAUUCUUGAAGGUGAGUUGAAGAUGUAUCGAUGAAGAGAUUGAAGAUUAUGGAGGUUAUUGAAGAGUUAGUGAUGAUGAAGAAGAGGAUUAUAGUGAAGGGUGAUUUCAAGUGUGAAGUGAAGGAGGAGUCGUGGAGAUGAUGAAGAUGUGCGCAAAUGAUGAACGAAGAAUGGUUCAGAAAUGGUGAAGAGUGGUGUGUGAAAAAUCAAAGUGAAGGGAGAAAGUUGCGGAGAGAAUGAAGAGAAAAAAUGGUGGAGGGAAGAGAUUUCAGAGGAGAGGCAUUGAUUUAUAGCAGUGAAGGAUUUUGAAGCUGGUAUGAGGGCUGCAUUGGUUUAGAAGAUAUACAACAUGCUCAUUUAUGGUUUUAUAAACAAAGAGGGAAACAAAAUUGUCACGUGUCGGCCAUGUACAAAUGAUAUUGGACAUGAAGAUGUGAUUGUGAUGAAGCAUAGGAUUAAGAAUGUCGUGUAUUUCCACAAAAUUUCUUGAUGUAAUGUGAAUAUGACAUUUGUAAUAACUUUGGGCUUUAAACAUGUUCCCUUUGUUUUCUCA